ensembl:snRNA U1 U1 spliceosomal RNA
AAACUCAUCUCAAUUCUUAACCUCCCAUGAUCACGAAGGUGGUUUUCCCAGGGCGAGGCUUAUCCAUUGCAGUCCGGAUGUGCUGAACCAUGCGGUUUCCCCAAAUGUGGGAAAAUCGACUGCAUAAUUUGUGGUAGUGGAGGACUGCGUUCGUGCUAAA